AUUUUAAUAUAAAUAUGUCUUGUGCAAUAUUUGUGACAUAUUUACAUUAAGA
rnacentral:pre_miRNA from 1 species